ACAAAUAUAAUUUGAGAAUUGCGUUUUCAAAAUUUAGGGAUAAAAAGACGUUGAAAUUCGCUUAGAGCAUGAUGAUUGGCAAAUUUUCACUUGUAAUUUUAUUGUUAUUUCUUUUGGAUAUAAGUGAUUCUAAACCACAAGGGUGCAUAUCUAUUCGAUAUCGAAGGGCGUGCACAAACAAUAUUAUCCAAAGAUCAGAUGCGAUGAAAAGACAACGCGAUGAGUAUGAUAGAAGUACGAAUAAAGUUAAGGACGAUAUAUUGCUUGAUUUAUAUAACGUUUUCAACGAACCAAGCUGAUUAUCGUUUUCAAUGAUUAAAAAAAAGAUAAAAAA
rnacentral:lncRNA from 1 species